rnacentral:rRNA from 1 species
AACGAACGCUGGCGGCAGGCUUAACACAUGCAAGUCGAGCGCCCCGCAAGGGGAGCGGCAGACGGGUGAGUAACGCGUGUGAAUCUACCCAUCUCUACGGAAUAACGCAUGGAAACGUGUGCUUAUACCGUAUACGUCCUUCGGGAGAAAGAUUUAUCGGAGAUGGAUGAGCCCGCGUUGGAUUAGCUAGUUGGUGGGGCAAAGGCCUACCAAGGCGACGAUCCAUAGCUGGUCUGAGAGGAUGAUCAGCCACACUGGGACUGAGACACGGCCCAGACUCCUACGGGAGGCAGCAGUGGGGAAUAUUGGACAAUGGGCGCAAGCCUGAUCCAGCCAUGCCGCGUGAAUGAUGAAGGCCCUAGGGUUGUAAAGCUCUUUCACCGGUGAAGAUAAUGACGGUAACCGGAGAAGAAGCCCCGGCUAACUUCGUGCCAGCCGCCGCAGUAACAC